UCCAGACUCCUACGGGAGGCAGCAGUGGGGGAUAUUGCACAAUGGGGGAAACCCUGAUGCAGCGACGCCGCGUGGGCGAAGAAGUAUUUCGGUAUGUAAAGCCCUAUCAGCAGGGAAGAAGAAAUGACGGUACCUGAGUAAGAAGCACCGGCUAAAUGCGUGCCAGCAGCCGCGGUAAUACGUAUGGUGCAAGCGUUAUCCGGAUUUACUGGGUGUAAAGGGAGCGUAGACGGGCCAGCAAGUCUGAUGUGAAAACCCGGGGCCCAACCCCGGGAGUGCAUUGGAAACUGCGGGCCUGGAGUGCCGGAGAGGUAAGCGGAAUUCCUAGUGUAGCGGUGAAAUGCGUAGAUAUUAGGAGGAACACCAGUGGCGAAGGCGGCUUACUGGACGGUAACUGACGUUGAGGCUCGAAAGCGUGGGGAGCAAACAGGAUUAGAUACCCGAGUA
rnacentral:rRNA from 1 species